CAAUAGCGUAUAUUAAAGUUGUUGCGGUUAAAAAGCUCGUAGUUGGAUUUCUGUUGAGGUCGGGCGGUGUGCACCUCGUGCAUUAUUUGCUUCGGUCUCGGCAUCCUCCUGGGGAACGUUUAGGACUUUAUUGGACUAGGCGAGAUUCAGGACUUUUACUUUGAGGAAAUUAGAGUGUUCACGGCAAGCAAGCGCGGGAAUACAUUAGCAUGGAAUAAUAAUAUAGGACCUUCGUUCUAUUUUGUUGGUUUCUUAGAACUUAGGUAAUGAUUAAUAGGGACGAAUUGGGGCGAUUCGUAUUUAACUUGUCAGAGGUGAAAUUACUUGGAUUUGUUAAAGUACGGACUACUGCGAAAGCAUUUGUCCAAGGAUGUUUUCAUUGAUCAAGAACGAAAGUUAAGGGGAUCGAAGAUGAUCAGAUACCAU
rnacentral:rRNA from 1 species